UGAUGGUUGUAUGUGAUGGUGGUUCUAUAACUUAGUUGUAAUUUGGAUGUGUUUAUGCGAGGAGGUGAGCUGUGUUUACCUAUGCCACCAUCUCGAAUGGAAGUCUAGAGUCUUCCUUUUAAGCAUUUAAAGAAACCUUGGCAAAAAUAAGACAUUUAUUUUAGAGAAUAGAUAUCAGCAAGAAUAAAUAAAAGAACUACAAUUCCAUCACCCACAACUCAGCACUGCAUCUCUCAGAGUAAAUGUCAUCACUACAUCUGCUUGACCACAGGGGAGAGGGCCCAUCUCAGCAUCUCCAUGCCCUGGCAGGUUCCUCACCAAACUUCACCUGCCCUUUGCCCUGAAAGCCCAGACAGCCACCUGUUGCUUCUGUCCUCUGGACUCUGCCCUGGAGCCAAAGACCUCAGAAGGUGCAUCUGCGGGAUCUGACUUAUUUCAGAGAAACAAAAGGGCUUGAAAGCCAUCAGUCCUCCCUACCAAAGGUUUUCCUGGAGACUGGCCUAGGGAAGGUACAGGAUUCAGUAUGUCCAACUCGCCUUUACAGGCUGAGGGUAUAGGGUUGGCAUGAGGACUUGCAGCCUGGUGUGGAGGAGGGCUGGGGUGGAACAGGGAAACUUCAGAGCUUGGCCACCAGGCCCUGCUGAUACUGGCCAUGUACGGCUGCCCUGGCAGGUUAGCUCUUCCCUUCAUACCACACUCUCCCUCUGUCUUGGGGACUCCUUUGCCUGGUGGCUUUACUUUAUCACACUUUCUAUCUCAGUGUAGCUAUCUGCCUGUUCUUUGCUGUUCCAGUUGCCAACAAGCUUCCUGAUGCCAGUGACCUCACAGGUUUUACUUUUUCUGGUCAUGGGUUCCAGGAAACUCAAGAAGCACAAGGCUUAAGACUUAAAAAAAAAAAACAAAACUGUUCCAGCUUAGAUUUGCUGUGCCGGUGCCAGUAUUUAUAGAUUCUGGCCUUUUUUCACUUAGUGUUUAAUCUGUAAUUUAGCAGUUAGAAGAUUUACAAAGCACCACCUCUUCUGUCUUCUCUCUGGCUCUUUCCUGUCCUGCUGUUCUCAGUGAAAGGGCGGAAUGCAGCUCUGGGCAUGCCCCCCAUUCAUGCCGCCUGUUCAUGCCCCCCAUUCGCCUUCCCCAUGUGCAGGUGUGUAUCUGCACACACACACGCUCAGCCCCAUCAGGGGGCUCCUCAUGCCUCUUUAUGUCAUCUGUGCCACGCAAGCCCUUCACGUACUCCUAAGGCUGGCCAUGACCUUAUAGACAUUAUCCCUCUUCAAAACAAAUAUGAGAUUGAUUUUUACAACUUUUUGAAACAAUGAAAAUAUUUGUUACCAAUAGUGGAACAACAUAAUGAGGGAAAUUGAAUGAGCUCACAAGGAGAGCUCGUUGUCCCAGGCGCUUCUGGGGCCUUUCCUUACAGUGGGCUCUCCUCAGCUGUAGUCAUAGUCCUGGGCAAGGUCAGAAUUUGUACUCAGGCCCAGUGAAAUUAGCCUGGAUUUCCCCCAUACUACACUUCCCCUGGGUGGAAGUGGAGCUCUUGUGGUUGAACUUGAAUUUCAAUAAAAUGAUAUAACAACCUAGCACAAAAGUUGAACCUUUGCCAAAAGCAAUGUACUCCACAGUUACCUGGGACUCAGCCAUCUGGCAUCUCUGAAGGGACUCAGCACCUUCAGCACUUUUGACAUGGGGACACUGGGCUUCAGAAAUCUGUGUACCCAGCUUGUGGUCAGAGGCUACUGCCUUCUUUCUGACCACAAAUCACGUGAAAGAAAUGGUGCCAGGCCAGUUCUGGAAAAUGCAAGCUAACUGUUGUACCCCAGAAUGUUGGCAGCAUUGAUGUGUUCGUGGAUCCGGGAAAUGGAAGCAAUGAAUAAAUGAAUGUGGGAAAGUGUGAAUUUUCAUAACAUAGGUAAAGGAACCUCACAGCAUCUGGGUCCAGUGGGAACAUGUGUAGUUCAUGUAUUUUCUGGUAGAGCAUACCAGGUGGCAGGGCAGUGACAGACCCCCAAUCCCCUUCUCCUGCCACUUGCUGAGUGGACCAUCAGGGUGCAGCCUUCUACAAGGGGCAGUGCUUCCCGGGUCAGCCUCUCAGAUGUAUUUCCAAACAGAGAUCUUUAUGUUUUUAACUCUGGAUCUGAGUUUGAUCUAGCUUUAGGGAGCUAGAGAUGGGAGGAAGGAAAGCAGGCACUACCCACUGACAGGAAGCUUUUGCUGAAGAGCAAGCCAGUGAGUCUGGCUGUUAACAACCAGUAUACCUCUCCCGGGUACUCAUCAUGAGAUCUAGGAAGGAAACUUGUUUCCAGGCCCCUCUGUGCUCUUUUCCACGGGUACUGAUCUUGCUUUUUGCAGCAACCUA